CGUGUAGGCGGUUGUACAAGUCAUGUGUGAAACCCUGCCGGCUCAACUGGCAGCCUGCACCUGAAACUGUAUGACUUGAGUACGGGAGAGGAGAGUGGAAUUCCUGGUGUAGCGGUGGAACGCGUAGAUAUCAGGAAGAACACCGGAGGCGAAGGCGGCUCUCUGGCCCGAGACUGACGCUGAAGCGCGAAAGCUAGGGGAGCAAACA
rnacentral:rRNA from 1 species